rnacentral:tRNA from 1 species
GCCGAUGUAGCUCAGGGGUAGAGCAACGGUUUCGUAAACCGUAGGUCGCGGGUUCGAAUCCCAUCAUCGGCU